AUUGAACGCUGGCGGCAUGCCUUACACAUGCAAGUCGAACGGCAGCACGGGAGCAAUCCUGGUGGCGAGUGGCGAACGGGUGAGUAAUAUAUCGGAACGUGCCCAGUCGUGGGGGAUAACGCAGCGAAAGCUGUGCUAAUACCGCAUACGAUCUACGGAUGAAAGCGGGGGAUCGCAAGACCUCGCGCGAUUGGAGCGGCCGAUAUCAGAUUAGCUAGUUGGUGGGGUAAAAGCCCACCAAGGCGACGAUCUGUAGCUGGUCUGAGAGGACGACCAGCCACACUGGAACUGAGGCACGGUCCAGACUCCUACGGGAGGCAGCAGUGGGGAAUUUUGGACAAUGGGCGCAAGCCUGAUCCAGCAAUGCCGCGUGCAGGAUGAAGGCCUUCGGGUUGUAAACUGCUUUUGUACGGAACGAAACGGUCUGCCCUAAUACGGUGGGCUAAUGACGGUACCGUAAGAAUAAGCACCGGCUAACUACGUGCCAGCCGCCGCGGUAAGAC
rnacentral:rRNA from 1 species